CGCGCCUCUUGCAGCACACCGCCCGCUGCUACAAAAUUCCAUCUCGAGAGAGAAAUCGGAUCACUUUGAAAUGGCGGUCGCUUUCCAUGAUGUCAAGUCUGCAGCCGGUUUGAAAAAACUCGAUGAAUACUUGCUUAGUCGUAGCUACAUUUCCGGGUAUCAGCCUUCAAAGGAUGAUGUUACCGUUUAUGAAGCGAUCUCCAAACCCGUUUCCAGUGAAUAUGUUAACGUGUCUAGGUGGAGUAAUCACAUUGAAGCACUCUUGAGAGUUUCCGCUGUUUUUGGAGAGGGUUCUGGUGUUAAGUUUGAUGCAGUUGCAACCCCACCAGCUGCAGAUGCAAAGGCUGCUGAUGACGAUGAUGACGACGACAUGGACCUAUUUGGUGAAGAGACCGAAGAGGAAAAGAAGGCUGCUGAAGAGCGUGCAGCUGCCAUUAAGGCUUCUGCAAAGAAGAAAGAG
rnacentral:misc_RNA from 1 species